UACGGAGGAUGCAAGCGUUAUCCGGAAUGAUUGGGCGUAAAGCGUCCGCAGGUGGCAGUUCAAGUCUGCUGUCAAAGACCGGGGCUUAACUUCGGAAAGGCAGUGGAAACUGAACAGCUAGAGUAUGGUAGGGGCAGAGGGAAUUCCUGGUGUAGCGGUGAAAUGCGUAGAGAUCUGGAGGAACACCGAUGGCGAAGGCAGCCUUCUGGGCCAACACUGACGCUCAUGCACGAAAGCGUGGGGAGCAAACAGG
rnacentral:rRNA from 1 species